rnacentral:rRNA from 1 species
UACGGGGGGGGCAAGCGUUGUUCGGAAUUACUGGGCGUAAAGGGCUCGUAGGUUGCCAACUAAGUCGGACGUGAAAUCCCUCAGCUUAACUGGGGAACUGCGUCCGAUACUGGAUGGCUUGAGUUUGGGAGAGGGAUGCGGAAUUCCAGGUGUAGCGGUGAAAUGCGUAGAUAUCUGGAGGAACACCGGUGGCGAAGGCGGGUCUCUGGGCCGAUACUGACGCUGAGGAGCGAAGGCCAGGGGAGCAAACGGG